GCAGUGUAUGGACUUCAUCCACCAGCAUCAGACUCGCCUGCCCCUGCUGCAGGGGAGGCACCAGGAUGCCCUCGCCGCCUGCCAGGAUCUGGGGUUGUGUGAGGCCAAGAGAGCCUCAGGCCCCAAGCACUGCAGCCUGGGCCCCAUCUACUGGUGCUCCAGCAUGGAGGCAGCUAAGGAGUGUGGCGCUUUGAAGCACUGCCAGGACCACGUGUGGGGGUAGCAGUACCCCCCCUUGCAACAAGAUGCCCCCACAGCCCCUGACCUUUGCACUCCCCAGGAAUCCAAGCUGCCCCCACCCCCAAGUAGUCAGACCCAGCUCCCUGCUCCCUCUGGAAACAGCUGUUAUAAUAAACCCCCCUGCUUUGCUAGGUGACUUAGAAGUGUUGUGUUUCAGCUGGGGGCGGGGGGACCUAAAGCCCCUGCUGGAACUCAGAGGCUCCCUUCUCCCCUCGCCAAGGAGAUCUCAGCCAGCUGCCCCCCAGUACAAAAGAACAGGGGUAAUGGGUUUGUUGCCCAGGGGGGUGGGGGGGGUGUAACAAAGCUUUAACUGCCCCCCCACCCCAGCU